rnacentral:miRNA from 1 species
AUCUCAGAAGCUAAGCAGGGUUGGGCCUGGUUAGUACUUGGAUGGGAGAACACCUAGGUGCUGUAGGCUAAAAAACAA